AUGUUCUCCUUCUACUGGAACAUGUUCGUGCUGCUGCAGAGAUUCCAGUUUUGCUUCUCGGGUCCCACAGCUCCCUCCGUGUCUCUGCUCCCUCCGUCUCCUCUGCAGCUGUCUGAGGGAUCAGCCUCGCUGCUCUGCCUGCUGUCUGGCUACUCUCCACAGGGGGCGCUGGUGAGCUGGACAGUGGACGGCUCAGAGGUGAAGGACGGGGUUCUGACCAGCGCAGAAGAACCGAAGAAGGACGGGUACGCACGCAGCAGCACCCUGACCCUCAACAAAGCACUCUGGGAAAAGGGGGAGGAGUUUGUCUGUAGGGUCUCCCAUGACAACGUCAACCAUCCGGUCACGUUCAGAAAGAGUCAGUGUGAAGUCUAA